GAUGAACGCUGGCGGCGUGCCUAAUACAUGCAAGCCGAGCGAACAGAUGAGGAGCUUGCUCCUCUGACGUUAGCGGCGGACGGGUGAGUAACACGUGGAUAACCUACCUAUAAGACUGGGAUAACUUCGGGAAACCGGAGCUAAUACCGGAUAAUAUAUUGAACCGCAUGGUUCAAUAGUGAAAGACGGUUUUGCUGUCACUUAUAGAUGGAUCCGCGCCGCAUUAGCUAGUUGGUAAGGUAACAGCUUACCAAGGCAACGAUGCGUAGCCGACCUGAGAGGGUGAUCGGCCACACUGGAACUGAGACACGGUCCAGACUCCUACGGGAGGCAGCAGUAGGGAAUCUUCCGCAAUGGGCGAAAGCCUGACGGAGCAACGCCGCGUGAGUGAUGAAGGUCUUCGGAUCGUAAAACUCUGUUAUUAGGGAAGAACAAAUGUGUAAGUAACUAUGCACGUCUUGACGGUACCUAAUCAGAAAGCCACGGCUAACUACGUG
rnacentral:rRNA from 1 species